rnacentral:rRNA from 1 species
GCCAGACUCCUACGGGAGGCAGCAGUGGGGAAUAUUGGACAAUGGGGGGAACCCUGAUCCAGCGACGCCGCGUGAGUGAAGAAGUAUUUCGGUAUGUAAAGCUCUAUCAGCAGGGAAGAAAGAAAUGACGGUACCUGACUAAGAAGCCCCGGCUAACUACGUGCCAGCAGCCGCGGUAAUACGUAGGGGGCAAGCGUUAUCCGGAUUCACUGGGUGUAAAGGGAGCGUAGACGGCGACGCAAGUCUGGAGUGAAAGCCCGGGGCCCAACCCCGGGACUGCUCUGGAAACUGCGUCGCUGGAGUACGGGAGGGGCAGGCGGAAUUCCUGGUGUAGCGGUGAAAUGCGUAGAUAUCAGGAGGAACACCGGCGGCGAAGGCGGCCUGCUGGACCGUGACUGACGUUGAGGCUCGAGAGCGUGGGGAGCAAACAGGAUUAGAUACCCUCGUA